UUAAAAUUUAUUUAUUUAUCAAUUUAUCAACUAUUAUUUACUUCCUUUUCACAUUCGCAUUCACAUAACACUACGUCUACAAAGUUAGAUACAUCCAGGGUUAAAGAAAGAGAGAGGGGCCUGGAGAGAGAGUGGACGGUCGCCGGCUACAUUACCCGGUGAUCAUCUAUUACUCAGGAGAUGACGACGAGGGUGAUGGGGGUAACAUCACCGCUCAAGGGUGACAUAUAGUGACGAUGGUGACGGUAGUUCGCCGGUGGUCAGCAGCCACAUCUUUGAGUGACGACUAGGGUUCCGAAGAACGAACCGGGUGAUGUGAUGGGGUAACGACUUCAGUCAAGGUAAGGUAACGGAGGAUCGAAGGUGGUAUACGAAGUAUCAUCCGCAUUUUCCGCCUGCUCUUCUCCUCUACUCCUCCGGCAAGGGACUCCUUAUCACUUUUCGAGGUGCGGUUGCUCUAUUCCCUGCUAUUUCUCUCAACUGGUCUGAUUGCAAGGGUUUUUUCUUUUCGUAUUCUGAUUUGGUUCAGGUACGUUUUUAUUUCCAGUUUGUUUAGUCGCAUUAUUUUGAGUUUUGAUAUAGAAAGAGUUCGUGGAAAUAAUAACAUAUUCGGUGGUGUUACAAAUGGAUAUUUUGCUUUCACUAAGGAACACCAGUAACCGUGUGGAUACAGGUGCAUUGCCUCCAUUUCAGUUCAGCUAUUUGAGAAAUAGGAAAUCAUUAUCUGAGUUUUGGCGGGAUUGUCCUAUUCUGGCUGAUAAUUCAAAGGAGCAUAAUUGCAUGCCUUAUGAACAUUAUACCGCAACAUUACUUGCACAAAAAGGCCUUGAAGGAGAACCCACAAAUAGGAGUUUAACUCACACUUCAUGGGUAUCUCAUCAAGCAAAGGUCGUGAAAGGCAAGGAUGGCAUCCUAUGACGGCCAAAUCUACAAAUUUGUUGUUGCUACUCCCAUUAUUCAUUCAAUGGUCUCAUUCACACUUGAUCACAAUAAGGUGGUUCAUGACGAGUGCCCACCUACCGAAUAAAAGAAGCAAGUUAGUACACAGAGUCUUCCCUCGCCCAAUUAACCUGCUUUGCUUCGCUCGCUUCCAUUUUGUUUCUAUACUUUAUUGGUCUUAUAAUACCUUUUGUUUAUAUUCAUGGUAGUUGUUGAUAUUUUUACUUAGCGUUAAAGUUUAUGUAUAAGAAAUCUAUGAUGUUAAUAAUGGCAGACUGGUUGUAAUCUA